rnacentral:rRNA from 1 species
GAUGAACGCUGGCGGCGUGCCUAAUACAUGCAAGUCGAGCGAACGGACGAGAAGCUUGCUUCUCUGAUGUUAGCGGCGGACGGGUGAGUAACACGUGGAUAACCUACCUAUAAGACUGGGAUAACUUCGGGAAACCGGAGCUAAUACCGGAUAAUAUUUUGCACCGCAUGGUUCAAAAGUGGAAGACGGUCUUGCUGUCACUUAUAGAUGGAUCCGCGCUGCAUUAGCUAGUUGGUAAGGUAACGGCUUACCAAGGCAACGAUGCAUAGCCGACCUGAGAGGGUGAUCGGCCACACUGGAACUGAGACACGGUCCAGACGACUACGGGAGGCAGCAGUAGGGAAUCUUCCGCAAUGGGCGAAAGCCUGACGGAGCAACGCCGCGUGAGUGAUGAAGGUCUUCGGAUCGUAAAACUCUGUUAUUAGGGAAGAACAUAUGUGUAAGUAACUGUGCACAUCUUGACGGUACCUAAUCAGAAAGCCACGGCUAACUACGUG